ACAAACCCCAGUUCAGAAGAAAUAAGAGAAAAGAAAUAUCACUGAGAGGGGAGUGAGGAAAGCAAGCAGGCUUUUCUGUUCUCCGAGGGAGAGGCCCUGCAAGCUCCCACACUCUCUCUCUCAUCCAUCUCUAUCCAAAGUCCAAACCCAAGCUUACAGCCAGGUCCAGAGAGAACCAGCUAAACCCUAGCUAGGCUUGCCAUGUUUAGAGGGAUGCGGGUGAGAUUUUCCUGAGCGUGGGUGGUGAACAUAACACGCUAAAAAAGGGGGUCUUUUAGAAAUAUUUUAAUAGUUGUCCACUUUAUAGUAAGAAAAUCCUCCUCUCUCCGGCCUAUAAAUCCUCCAUCACCUCACCCCUUAUCACCCCCACCCCUCACCUCUCCCUCCCCCUCUCUCUCUCUAGAUUAGGUGGUAUAGGGUUUUACAGGAAGUGGGUGAGGUGGGUCUUCUUCCCAUGGAAGGAGGGAGGAGGUGAUGGGGAGGAGACAUGGGCUUUCUCUCUCUGUAGGAGGUGAUGGUGGCAAGAGGCGAAAGUGGCUUCCUCUCUCUCUCUCUCUCUCCCUCCCUUCCCCUCUAAGCAGAGGUGAAGUGGUGAUGAUGGGGAGAAGGAAGAGUGGGUUCUUUGUGUCCUAUUCUCUAUAGAAACAGUGGGUUUUCUUGUCUCCGUGGAGUGAAGAAGAGAUUAUUGUGAGAAGGAACAGGGCUACGAUGGCUUUAUUUCACCACAAUCCUUGUCAGGAUUCGAAAUUCAAGGUGCAAGAUUACGGUGAUCUCUCCCCUUGUCUUUGUCCUUUCCAUUUUUGUGGAUUGAAGAUCCUUGAGAUUUCAGGAAUAAGAUUUCCUUAUAGCGACAUUUUUGGUCUUCCUAUCUGGGCAUAUCAAAUAUUUGGUUGCUAUAAAUAAUGGAUGAUAUGCAAAUGGAAGUGUUUAUGAGCAUUACAUAGUAAAAAUUUUUAUACAAAUUUUUCAUGCAGAUUUUAUAUCAUUUUACAGAUGCAUUAUCAAAUGAUUGUUUUAUGGAUGCUUCCCCAUGUAGAGUAGAAGGAAACGUUUGAGAUCUUUUUCUUCUCAUGAUGGUGGAUCACAACUCUAAAUUGAUGGUUUUAUGAAAGUCUUUUCGUAUUUUUCUUCCGUUAAUAUGUAAACACUUUGGAUCAGCAGUAAGUUUUUUUACAAAUCGAAAACUUUCCAAAAUUUCUUUUGGUGGGAUCACAGAUCAGAAUUUUUCUUGUUUUAUAAAUAGAUAUUGUUUUGGUUUUCCCUCUCUUUUUUUUGGGUGGCGUUUCAACAAAGAAUAUAAAAGAGUGUCCAUUACUCCUUAAUUGUUUUAUUCCUUAACCGAUAGAUGAUUCAUUCAUUCUUGGUACUGGUUUGUAACAAGAUAUAUAUCUGAGGUGAAGGUUUGGAGGCUCCUGAGUUCAUUGACACCUUUGAGUCAUUAUCUCUGAACCAUUCUUUCUGCUGAGAUUCUCACCGAGUUCAGAUGUGUCACUUCUUAUAUAUGAAUUGGACUUGAGGGAUCUCUCUCUCUCUCCCGCACAUACACACGCACACAAAAUAAUAGGUAAUAGCCUUUAUUUCUGUAGAUUUAUCACCACCACCACCAUCUCUCUAUGGGACACACAAAUGCUCACACAUUUGGAGCGACUUCUCAGAUGUUUUUGGGAAAAAUAUUCAAUAUCUACCAACAAUUUUACCACGUGAUAUCCGGGCUUCCUUUCCUGCAAAGCAGCAAUUUUCCAUACUAUUUAUUUUUUCAUUGUUGAUAUACGAGUCAAAGUAAUCAGUAAAUGAAUGCCUUUAUUAUAUUUUUAUCAAAGACAAUGUUUUGAUAAUCUUCAGUGUUAUAGAUGUUAGCUUUUGUUUCGAAAUAUAUUCACUUUAUCUCUCCUUGGUACCCUUGGAAUUAAAGAUAUUUUGCCUAGAUAACAUAGUUCUCUUCAUAAUAACCUCUCCCUCUCCCUCCCUCCUCCCCCUCUACCUCCCUCCCUCUCCCUCUCUCCUCUCACUGUCUGUGUCUGAAGAAACCCUCAUGUUUGUCCAUGCAUAUAUAGCCAGGAAUCUCUGUACAUUGUGACCGUUUUCCUAGGACUUGAAGGUGACAAAAGAAAGAUAUAUAAUCUUUCAAAGAGACAAAAGAGUUAUAUAUAAUCUUAGCUCCUCCUUGCUUUUAGAUUAGCCAUUCCCUGUGACUCUUUCUAUGUCACAUGCAGCACACAUCGAUCCCUCUCUACCUGUACUAGGUUUCAUUCGCUAAUGUCUCGAGUUAUUAGGUAGCUGAAUGACUUCAACUAUAUGUUUCAAACAUGUCAGAGGGCUUUAGGUUAUUAAGCAAUCGAAUGCCGUCUAACAUUCUCCUGGAGCUUUGACAUGACAGUAUGUAUGCUUUGAGUCGAUCUCUCCUCGGUGUGUGCGAGAGAGAGAGAGAGAGAGUGUGCGCGUAUGAGAGAGAGAGAGAGAGACUCAUAGGCGCAUAUCCCACAUCUGGUAUGUUAUUCUUCAAAGUAUUUAUCAUUACGACAGUAAGUGGUGAAACGUUUUCCUAUGCCUCCUGCCGCCUGCAUAUAAUGAUGCAGUCAUGCAGCCUCCGUAUCUCCAAUCCACAGCACACACACACAUUUGCACACAAAAACACAGAAGAGAGAGAGAGAGAGAGAGAGAGAGAGAGAGGCUUUGAGUUUAAUAACAAUGUCUCGAACUUUAAUGUUUUUAAAUAUUUUUCAUUGCAAACUCUAUGGUCAGAAGAAAAGAUAAUUUUUUCUCCAUUUUUGGGGCAGUUACUUUGCAAAUAUAACUUUUAUUUCUUUUAGACUCUGUAGACUGUACCACUCCAAGCUGCUUCCACCACUGGAGUGGUCUAGUACUUUGUGGCACUGCCUUCAAAAGCUCAAACCACUCCUCUCACAAAUGGCUUGGAAUGUGGUUGACACAGCGGUAGGACCCUGUAAGCAUGCAAUGCAAUGUGGCCAAGGCCCCGCCAAAGGAGAUAGAGAUGGACUCCAAGGAGCAGGGUCCUCUUCCAAUGGGCCCUACUUGGCGCUGUGCGUGCGGUCACUGCACCCUUACCACAUGGGCGGUCAGGACGCUUUGCCUUUCUGCCUUGCUUUUGUUGCUGGCAGUGCAACCAGGAAGACCCCAAACCGUCCGGCCGCAGGGGCUCAGCUUUCUAUCCUUCCGAGGACUCAGAAAGAUAGAGAAAGACAGACAGACAGAGAGAGAGAGAGAGAGCAUCGGGGUCCUCCAAAAGGAAUUUUCAAGGCAAUUAAAGAAGCCACAGAGAGAGAAAGAGAGAGAGAGAGAGAGAAAGAGAGCAUCGUUGUCCUCCAAAAGGAAUUUUCAGGGACGGCUGAAGAAGCCCGUGAGAACAGCUCAGUCCCCGGAGCUCAUAAACCCAACUGCCCUGUUGUCUAUAAUCCUCAUAAUGCCAUGUCUCUGUACGGAUCAAUCCAAGGGCAUGCUGUUCCUGUUCUCAAAAAGAAAACUUCUUUGUAUUCAGUUCUCGGUUCCCUUCCCAUACUGCCCCUCUCAUCAUCAUUGGGGCUGCAGCCUCCUGGUCAAUUGACCUAGAGGCUGAGAACUUGCUAUCCCAUGUUAUGUAACGCAGGCCAAACUAAAGGGCAUGAUACUUUUUCCGAGAAAUCUUUGGAUGGGUCAUUGAUGGUUCCUACCUUGACUCACUGGUUGACAAAGUUGCAAGGGAUAGCCACAUUGUCAUUAACAUAUGGGACUAAGUGAUGAAUUGUUUAAUUUGCUUGAAGUGCUGAUCA